rnacentral:misc_RNA from 1 species
AUAUAAUCUUGUCAAUAACGUUGCGUUUUAAUUUGUACUCUGGAAAUUUCUUCUCUCUGAUUCUCUCUCUAAAAUGGAUCGCAAAAGCUUGCUUAAUGUAGCGUUAAUGUGCGUCAUUGUUGCCAGUGUCGGUGGUCAAGCUCCGACGUCAGCUCCGACGGCGACACCGGUUACCCCUGCAGCCCCUACGGCUACUCCUGUGACUCCUGCAGCCCCUGUAACAGCACCCGCUAAGGCUCCUGUAAAACCUACA